rnacentral:lncRNA from 1 species
CGCGAGCCCAACACGGCUCUCGGAGGACUAGCCCCCCUCCCCCACCCCGCCCCCUGGCGCUAGCGUUCGGCCGCGCGCCCGCGCCACCUAGGGGCGGGGCCGAUGGGAGGGGCCUAUGCAAAUAUGUUUACGUUAAAAUUCGGCUUAGCUUCCCCGGUGGAGGAAAAAGUGUACUGCCUGGCGCCUGGCAUGGAUGCGGGGGAGGGGGGCUGCGGCUCCAGGAGGCGGGUCUCUAGCUUCUGUGCACCUUUAUUAAGAACGUCUACGGCUUUCGCCUCGGCGGAUAGUCUCACCGCUAGGCUCCUAGGCCCGGGCACUGCGUGUGCAUCGACCUGUGGAAGUCACACUUUGCAAAUUUCCUUCCUUCACCUUGCACGAAGGAAUGAGAUCUUUGGGAAACCGGGGAGUGGAGAGUGUAGGUCCCCGGAUUGACAAAACAAUCUGGGAGAAGUGCAUGCGUGCUUUGCACGUCCGUCGAAGCAGGAGAGCCCUUUCAACAUCCUAGCGGUAGACUAGGGGAUAGUAGGGAGACUGAAGCCGUGGAGUCGGGUUCCGGGAUUUUCAAGAGUAUGUUUGGCUGUAGAUUCUGGAGAAAGAUGCAGAUUCCCUGAAAUGGAGUUGAGUCUCAGUGGAUUCCAGAGUCUCUCCAGAAAGGAGCCAGGCAGCUUCCACAUGGGAGCCCACAUCUCAAUGAAAACAAGAGAUCUGAUGCUUCCCUGACAACUCAUUUUCUCAACCUUCAUUCUGGGGGGAAAGGCGACUUCUCAUUCCAG